GGGGCUGUAGCUCAGUUGGGAGAGCGCGGGUUUUGCAAACCCGAGGUCGUCGGUUCGAUCCCGAUCAGCUCCACCA
rnacentral:tRNA from 1 species